rnacentral:rRNA from 1 species
CCCUUUCGGGGGGCGAGUAGAGUGGCGUCCGGGUGAGUAACACGUAGGUAAUCUACCUUUGGGUGGGGAAUAACGCAGGGAAACUUGCGCUAAUACCGCAUAAUGCAGCGGCACCACAUGGUGACAGUUGUUAAAGCGGGGGAUUUUCGGACCUCGCGCCUAAAGAGGAGCCUGCGGCAGAUUAGCUAGUUGGUAAGGUAACGGCUUACCAAGGCGAUGAUCUGUAGCCGGCCUGAGAGGGCGGUCGGCCACACUGACACUGACAUACGGGUCAGACUCCUACGGGAGGCAGCAGUCGGGAAUUUUGGGCAAUGGGCGAAAGCCUGACCCAGCAACGCCGCGUGAAGGAUGAAAUCCUUCGGGAUGUAAACUUCGCAAGAACGGGAAGAAUAAGUAAGGGUUAAUAUCUCUUACGAUGACGGUACUGUUUGUAAGCUCCGGCUAACUCCGUGCCAGCAGCCGCGGUAAUACGGGGGGAGCAAGCGUUGUUCGGAUUUACUGGGCGUAAAGGGCGCGUAGGCGGCCACCGCAAGUCGACUGUGAAAUCUCCGGGCUUAACCCGGAAAGGUCAGCCGAUACUGCGGGGCUAGAGUGCAGAAGGGGCAACUGGAAUUCUCGGUGUAGCGGUGAAAUGCGUAGAUAUCGAGAGGAACACCUGCGGCGAAGGCGGGUUGCUGGGCUGACACUGACGCUGAGGCGCGAAAGCUAGGGGAGCGAACGGGAUUAGAUACCCCGGUAGUCCUAGCCU